UACAGAGGGGGCAAGCGUUGUUCGGAAUUACUGGGCGUAAAGGGCGCGUAGGCGGCCUGCUCAGUCGGACGUGAAAUCCCCGGGCUCAACUCGGGAACUGCGUCCGAUACUGGCAGGCUUGAAUCCGGGAGAGGGAUGUGGAAUUCCAGGUGUAGCGGUGAAAUGCGUAGAUAUCUGGAGGAACACCGGUGGCGAAGGCGGCAUCCUGGACCGGUAUUGACGCUGAGGCGCGAAAGCCAGGGGAGCAAAC
rnacentral:rRNA from 1 species